GAUGAAGAACGUAGCGAAAUGCGAUAAGUAGUGUGAAUUGCAGAAUUCAGUGAAUCAUCGAAUCUUUGAACGCACAUUGCGCCCUUUGGUAUUCCUUAGGGCAUGCCUGUUCGAGCGUCAUUUAAACCUUCAAGCUCAGCUUGGUGUUGGGUGACUGUCCGCUUCACCGCGGACUCGCCUCAAAAUUAUUGGCGGCCGGUACAUUGGCUUCGAGCGCAGCAGAAACGCGAACUCGGGCCCGUCGUAUUGGCUCCCAGAAGCUAUCUUCACAAUUUUGACCUCGGAUCAGUUAGGGAUACCCGCUGAACUUAAGCAUAUCAAUAAGCGGAGGA
rnacentral:misc_RNA from 1 species